rnacentral:tRNA from 1 species
GGCCUGGGGCUCAGUGGUAGAGUGCUCACCUGGCACAUGUGAGGCACUGGGUUCAACCCUCAGCACCA